UCACGACUCUCGGCAACGGAUAUCUCGGCUCUCGCAUCGAUGAAGAACGUAGCAAAAUGCGAUACGUGGUGUGAAUUGCAGGAUCCCGUGAACCAUCGAGUUUUUGAACGCAAGUUGCGCCCGAAGCCUUUAGGCCGAGGGCACGUCUGCCUGGGCGUCACGC
rnacentral:rRNA from 2 species